CUGUCGUCAGCUCGUGUCGUGAGAUGUUGGUUAAGUCCGUAACCGAGCGCAACCCUUGUCCUUAGUUACCAGCACGUUAUGUGGGCGACUCUAAGGAGACUGCCGGUGGCAAACCGGGGAAGGUGGGGAUGACGUCAAGUCAUCAUGGCCUUACGGCCUGGGCUACACACGUGCUACAAUGGUCGGUACAAAGGGUUGCCAAGCCGCGAGGUGGAGCUAAUCCCAUAAAACCGAAUCGUAGUCCGGAUCGCAGUCUGCAACUCGACUGCGUGAAGUCGGAAUCGCUAGUAAUCGUGAAUCAGAAUGUCACGGUGAAUACGUUCCCGGGCCUU
rnacentral:rRNA from 1 species